rnacentral:rRNA from 1 species
GAUGAACGCUGGCGGCGUGCCUAAUACAUGCAAGUCGAGCGAACAGACGAGGAGCUUGCUCCUCUGACGUUAGCGGCGGACGGGUGAGUAACACGUGGAUAACCUACCUAUAAGACUGGGAUAACUUCGGGAAACCGGAGCUAAUACCGGAUAAUAUAUUGAACCGCAUGGUUCAAUAGUGAAAGACGGUUUUGCUGUCACUUAUAGAUGGAUCCGCGCCGAAUUAGCUAGUUGGUAAGGUAACGGCUUACCAAGGCAACGAUGCGUAGCCGACCUGAGAGGGUGAUCGGCCACACUGGAACUGAGACACGGUCCAGACUCCUACGGGAGGCAGCAGUAGGGAAUCUUCCGCAAUGGGCGAAAGCCUGACGGAGCAACGCCGCGUGAGGGAUGAAGGUCUUCGGAUCGUAAAACUCUGUUAUUAGGGAAGAACAAAUGUGUAAGUAACUAUGCACGUCUUGACGGUACCUAAUCAGAAAGCCACGGCUAACUACGUG